rnacentral:rRNA from 1 species
AUACGUAGGGGGCGAGCGUUGUCCGGAAUUACUGGGCGUAAAGGGUGCGUAGGUGGCACUUUAAGUUGGAUGUGAAAUCCCCGUGCUUAACAUGGGAGCUGCAUCCAAUACUGGAGAGCUAGAGUGCAGGAGAGGUAAGCGGAAUUCCUAGUGUAGCGGUGAAAUGCGUAGAUAUUAGGAGGAACACCAGUGGCGAAGGCGGCUUACUGGACUGUAACUGACACUGAGGCACGAAAGCGUGGGGAGCAAACAGGAUUAGAUACCCUGGUAGUCCGCGCUGUAAACGAUGAAUACUAGGUGUAGGGGGUAUCAACUCCCUCUGUGCCGCAGCAAACGCAAUAAGUAUUCCGCCUGGGGAGUACGGCCGCAAGGUUGAAACUCAAAUGAAUUGACGGGG